AACCGGAGCUUUGCGUCCGGGGAUUAGUGGCGAACGGGUGAGUAACACGUGGGCAACUCGCCCCAGACAGUCGGGAUAACCAUUCGGAAAAGGAUGGCUAAUACCGGAUAUGACCACGUUCGGGCAUCCGAUGGUGGUGGAAAGGAUUCUGGUCUGGGAUGGGCCCGCGGCCUAUCAGCUAGUUGGUGGGGUAAUGGCCUACCAAGGCGACGACGGGUAGCCGGCCUGAGGGGGCGACCGGCCACACUGGGACUGAGACACGGCCCAGACUCCUACGGGAGGCAGCAGUGGGGAAUAUUGCGCAAUGGGCGAAAGCCUGACGCAGCGACGCCGCGUGAGGGACGAAGGUCUUCGGAUUGUAAACCUCUUUCAGCAGGGACGAAGCGAAAGUGACUGUACCUGCAGAAGAAGCACCGGCUAACUACGUG
rnacentral:rRNA from 1 species